rnacentral:tRNA from 1 species
GAUAAUGUGCUUGAUUAAAAGGUCGCCUUGAUAGGGCGGAACAAGAGAGUUCUCCUCUCCAUUAUCA